rnacentral:rRNA from 1 species
AACAGAAAGUAGCUUGCUACUUUGCUGACGAGCGGCGGACGGGUGAGUAAUGCUUGGGAACAUGCCUUGAGGUGGGGGACAACAGUUGGAAACGACUGCUAAUACCGCAUAAUGUCUACGGACCAAAGGGGGCUUCGGCUCUCGCCUUUAGAUUGGCCCAAGUGGGAUUAGCUAGUUGGUGAGGUAAUGGCUCACCAAGGCAACGAUCCCUAGCUGGUUUGAGAGGAUGAUCAGCCACACUGGAACUGAGACACGGUCCAGACUCCUACGGGAGGCAGCAGUGGGGAAUAUUGCACAAUGGGCGAAAGCCUGAUGCAGCCAUGCCGCGUGUGUGAAGAAGGCCUUCGGGUUGUAAAGCACUUUCAGUCAGGAGGAAAGGGUGUGAGUUAAUACCUCACAUCUGUGACGUUACUGACAGAAGAAGCACCGGCUAACUCCGUGCCAGCAGCCGCGGUAAUACGGAGGGUGCGAGCGUUAAUCGGAAUUACUGGGCGUAAAGCGUACGCAGGCGGUUUGUUAAGCGAGAUGUGAAAGCCCCGGGCUCAACCUGGGAACUGCAUUUCGAACUGGCAAACUAGAGUGUGAUAGAGGGUGGUAGAAUUUCAGGUGUAGCGGUGAAAUGCGUAGAGAUCUGAAGGAAUACCGAUGGCGAAGGCAGCCACCUGGGUCAACACUGACGCUCAUGUACGAAAGCGUGGGG